rnacentral:ribozyme from 1 species
UUCAAACCGUCAACCAAAACUUGUUUCUGUUAGCAAGUUCGGCGGCUUCCGAUAGCAAUGUCGGAAUGAAAAAAUCGACUAAUAUCGGUGAAUUCCUAUUUUGACUUUCAACCUGUCAUCUAUUAGGAUAACACCGAGGCAACUUCAAUUUUAUUGAAGAAGCCGUAGAGACUUUCUGCUUUCGGGCAGAGGAUGGGAGAUAACCUUCCAUAAUACGUCGAUCUUCCAUUAAAACAUCUAAAAAGUUUUGAUGGAAAGUGAUAUAGUCCAUACACUUAGUAAUAGGUGA